rnacentral:rRNA from 1 species
UAGGGAAUCUUCGGCAAUGGACGGAAGUCUGACCGAGCAACGCCGCGUGAGUGAAGAAGGUUUUCGGAUCGUAAAGCUCUGUUGUAAGAGAAGAACGAGUGUGAGAGUGGAAAGUUCACACUGUGACGGUAUCUUACCAGAAAGGGACGGCUAACUACGUGCCAGCAGCCGCGGUAAUACGUAGGUCCCGAGCGUUGUCCGGAUUUAUUGGGCGUAAAACGAGCGCAGGCGGUUAGAUAAGUCUGAAGUUAAAGGCUGUGGCUUAACCAUAGUACGCUUUGGAAACUGUUUAACUUGAGUGCAAGAGGGGAGAGUGGAAUUCCAUGUGUAGCGGUGAAAUGCGUAGAUAUAUGGAGGAACACCGGUGGCGAAAGCGGCUCUCUGGCUUGUAACUGACGCUGAGGCUCGAAAGCGUGGGGAGCAAACAGGAUUAGAUACCCUGGUAGUCCACGCCGUAACGAUGAGUGCUAGGUGUUAGACCCUUUCCGGGGUUUAGUGUCGCAGCUAACGCAUUAAGCACUCCGCCUGGGGGAGUACGACCGCAAGGUU